CGAUUCGAGUGGCGGACGGGUGAGUAACGCGUGGGUAACCUGCCUUACACAGGGGGAUAACACCUGGAAACAGGUGCUAAUACCGCAUAAGCGCACAGGGCCGCAUGGCCCGGUGUGAAAAACUCCGGUGGUGUAAGAUGGACCCGCGUCUGAUUAGCUUGUUGGCGGGGUAGGGGCCCACCAAGGCGACGAUCAGUAGCCGGCCUGAGAGGGUGGACGGCCACAUUGGGACUGAGACACGGCCCAAACUCCUACGGGAGGCAGCAG
rnacentral:rRNA from 1 species